GCCUAUUGCUACGAUCCUUUCCAAGUUGUCCACUCCAAGUUUGGAUCCAAUUACGGAAUCCUAAAUCGCAAUACCUAUAUUAUACCUACGCUAUAUGCCUACGAAGAGGAGUAUUAAUUUAUUUACUUUCACAACACACUGAAGACACGGGUUACUCUAUUUUAAAAAAAUGCUAAUCUGUUGUAAGAGUUGCUAAAAACAUAGUCAACUUGUUUUCUAAUAAGUUUUAAUUUGGCAUCCAUGUAAAAAUGAAGAUCUUCAUCAUAAUAUUGGCAACACUGACACUUACACUGGCAACACUGGUAGAUGAUGAAUGCGAAGCGUGUCUUUAUGGAACCUGUCACUAUAGAGAAAAAAUACAAGAUGCUCCUGACUAUCUUUCCCUUGUAAAUGUUCACGCUGUGGACUACACUAAGAGAAGAAUUUACUGCGAAUUUUUAUCAGACAACUUCAGAACAUUCAUAGGUUACUGGGAGAACAAAUCUCUACAAAACUUCCGUUUCACUGAUAAACUUUACAGUGUAACUGUAGAUCAAAAUACGCAUGACGUUUAUGUAUCCAGCUUGGAUGAUAAAUUUAAAUUCAAUCCUAACAUUAAAUCACGGACAACAGAUCUUAUAAACAAACUCAAAGGGAUUAAAUGCUUACAGUUUCAUAAAGAUACAUUGUAUUUUUCAUAUUCAGAUACACUCUAUAAGCUUGUUAAUACUACUUUCGAGUCAGUUUUUCACAAUUAUCCAUUAGCUGAUUUUGUUGUUGAUAAAAAUGACGAUGUCUACUUUAGAAAUCGAAUAACAGAAACUAUUUACAAAUUUAAUAGUAAUACACUAGAGAACAACUAUUUCUGUAAUGAAAAUUUUAAGUUAUCUGUGGAUAAAAAUGGCGACGUAUAUUUGAAUACAGAUAAAAUAUUGUACAAAAUUGUUAACCAACAGCCUGUAGACAUAGGGCACUUUAGUUUUAGUAAAGAUUUUAGACCAGUUUUCGAUUGGGAUAAUAACAUAGUAUUCGUAGAUUUAGAUAAAUUAUACGUUCUUAAACCCAGCAAUUCCUCUUGUACUAUUAAAAAAGGCGAGAUAACGCAAGUUUGCAGUAAAAAAUGUGAAGGAGAAGGCAAGUUAUGCAUGAUUGUAUGUUAAGUUAUAAAGUAAGUUACCAAAUAAAUGAAAACAAAAUAA